GCCCUCGUAGUUCAAUGGACAGAACUGCUCACUCCUAACGAGCCGAUCGAGGUUCGAUUCCUCGCGAGGGCACAA
rnacentral:tRNA from 1 species